GUGGGGAAUUUUGGACAAUGGGCGCAAGCCUGAUCCAGCAAUGCCGCGUGUGUGAAGAAGGCCUUCGGGUUGUAAAGCACUUUUGGCAGGAAAGAAAUAGUGCGUGCUAAUACCAUGCGCGAAUGACGGUACCUGCAGAAUAAGCACCGGCUAACUACGUGCCAGCAGCCGCGGUAAGACGUAGGGUGCAAGCGUUAAUCGGAAUUACUGGGCGUAAAGCGUGCGCAGGCGGUUUUGUAAGACAGGUGUGAAAUCCCCGGGCUCAACCUGGGAACUGCACUUGUGACUGCAAGGCUAGAGUGUGUCAGAGGGAGGUGGAAUUCCGCGUGUAGCAGUGAAAUGCGUAGAGAUGCGGAGGAACACCGAUGGCGAAGGCAGCCUCCUGGGAUAACACUGACGCUCAGGCACGAAAGCGUGGGGAGCAAACAGGAUUAGAUACCCGUGUAGUCC
rnacentral:rRNA from 1 species